GGCGAGGUAGCUCAGUCGGUUAGAGCGUUGGAUUCAUAACCCAAAGGUCGGGAGUUCAAAUCUCCCUCUCGCUA
rnacentral:tRNA from 1 species